UACGGAGGGUGCAAGCGUUAUCCGGAUUCACUGGGUUUAAAGGGUGCGUAGGAGGGCAGGUAAGUCAGUGGUGAAAUCCUAGGGCUUAACCCUAGAACUGCCGUUGAUACUAUCGGUCUUGAAUACCGUGGAGGUGAGCGGAAUAUGUCAUGUAGCGGUGAAAAUGCUUAGAGAUGACAUAGAACACCAAUUGCGAAGGCAGCUUGCUACACGGUUAUUGACUCUGAGGCACGAAAGCGUGGGGAUCAAACAGG
rnacentral:rRNA from 1 species